rnacentral:tRNA from 1 species
GGAAGAGCGUCGCACCUGGUGGUGCGCGCGGCCUUCAAAGCCGUUGAAGUGCUGUAAAAGUGCUUGGUGGGUUCGACUCCUACCUCUU